AUUUGUAUAGUUUAAUAAAAAAAACAUUUCACUUUCAUUGAAAAAUUAAAUAAUAAUUAUUUUACAAAUA
rnacentral:tRNA from 1 species